rfam:Pseudomonas fulva 12-X, complete genome.
AUACGUGUAAAGGUGGAGAUGCACAACGGUCGGCCUGCGUAGCAAAGAGCUUCAUCUAAAGACGCGUCAUAUCGUCCGCUACCGACCCUUGAUUCCUCCUCCUGACUGAGAACCUGUUUAGGGUCUCGCGAGCUAGCGCCACGCAAGACGCUACGUUAGUAACAGCCCCCGUUCGGGGCGGCCGAGGAAGCGACCCUUACCCACGUGGUAAACGGAUUUUCCAGACCGGUUUCAACGCAGCAAGGCCGAUGCUUAGCCGAUCACAAGCGAGUUCUGAGGGCUUUCUGUCACAUACAGCAAGCAGGAGACGUCCGUCGCGGCCCAGCACAACUGGCUGCUGCCGCUAGACACUGAAGCGAUUUACGCCCGCUUCUGACGCACCUGACACCGACCCUGAGCGUCGUGUGUGCCUAACGCGGCUUCCGGCAGCACCGGAAACCA